AUGAAUAACUCUGGAGCUGAUUUCUUCAGAAGUCACCACGGGCACCUAUGGGCUACGCAGCUCCUCCUCCUCCUCCACUGCCUUUUCUGGAGCCCUCACCAUCUCCCUCUGCCGUGUCUUCCAAGACCCUUGGGAAUUACGCCGUUUAAAUGCCGUUUUUGUAUCACUGCCAUGACAGAAGUCAGCAAGCCUGAAGGAAUCACAUCGCCUUGAAGCCACCGCAAGGACACGGAAAGUGGUUGAAAACAUAACUCAGCCUCCUCAGCGAGCACCUGGCUGUGCCCUCACCCAGAGGAGACUGUGGAAAGCCCAGUAAGUGGUUUUAAGGUUUAAGGUUUUAAUUCUGCCAAGGCUUUCAGGGAGAAGCCAGCAUGCAGGGAUGGUGUGAGUUUACAGUGUGUUGGCUGCUUCU
rnacentral:lncRNA from 1 species